rnacentral:rRNA from 1 species
GGGGUCGUGCGGCGGCUACACAUGCAAGUCGAGCGGAUGAAGGGAGCUUGCUCCUGGAUUCAGCGGCGGACGGGUGAGUAAUGCCUAGGAAUCUGCCUGGUAGUGGGGGAUAACGUCCGGAAACGGGCGCUAAUACCGCAUACGUCCUGAGGGAGAAAGUGGGGGAUCUUCGGACCUCACGCUAUCAGAUGAGCCUAGGUCGGAUUAGCUAGUUGGUGGGGUAAAGGCCUACCAAGGCGACGAUCCGUAACUGGUCUGAGAGGAUGAUCAGUCACACUGGAACUGAGACACGGUCCAGACUCCUACGGGAGGCAGCAGUGGGGAAUAUUGGACAAUGGGCGAAAGCCUGAUCCAGCCAUGCCGCGUGUGUGAAGAAGGUCUUCGGAUUGUAAAGCACUUUAAGUUGGGAGGAAGGGCAGUAAGUUAAUACCUUGCUGUUUUGACGUUACCAACAGAAUAAGCACCGGCUAACUUCGUGCCAGCAGCCGCGGUAAUACGAAGGGUGCAAGCGUUAAUCGGAAUUACUGGGCGUAAAGCGCGCGUAGGUGGUUCAGCAAGUUGGAUGUGAAAUCCCCGGGCUCAACCUGGGAACUGCAUCCAAAACUACUGAGCUAGAGUACGGUAGAGGGUGGUGGAAUUUCCUGUGUAGCGGUGAAAUGCGUAGAUAUAGGAAGGAACACCAGUGGCGAAGGCGACCACCUGGACUGAUACUGACACUGAGGUGCGAAAGCGUGGGGAGCAAACAGGAUUAGAUACCCUGGUAGUCCACGCCGUAAACGAUGUCGACUAGCCGUUGGGAUCCUUGAGAUCUUAGUGGCGCAGCUAACGCGAUAAGUCGACCGCCUGGGGAGUACGGCCGCAAGGUUAAAACUCAAAUGAAUUGACGGGGGCCCGCACAAGCGGUGGAGCAUGUGGUUUAUUUCGAAAGCAACGCGAAGAACCCUUACCUGGGCCUUGACAUGCUGAGAACUUUCCAGAGAUGGAUUGGUGCCUUCGGAACUCAGACCCAGGUGCUGCAUGGCUGUCGUCAGCUCGUGUCGUGAAAUGUUGGUAAGUUCCGGUAACGAGCGCAAUCUUGUCCUAAGUACAGCACCCUCGGGGUGCCACUCCUAAGGAGACUGCCGGUGACAAACCGGAGGAAGGUGGGGAUGACGUCAAGUCAUCAUGGCCCUUACGGCCAGGGCUACACACGUGCUACAAUGGUCGGUACAAAGGGUUGCCAAGCCGCGAGGUGGAGCUAAUCCCAUAAAACCGAUCGUAGUCCGGAUCGCAGUCUGCAACUCGACUGCGUGAAGUCGGAAUCGCUAGUAAUCGUGAAUCAGAAUGUCACGGUGAAUACGUUCCCGGGCCUUGUACACACCGCCCGUCACACCAUGGGAGUGGGUUGCUCCAGAAGUAGCUAGUCUAACCGCAAGGGGGACGGUACCACGGAGAUCUGCCUU